rnacentral:rRNA from 1 species
UAUUGCACAAUGGGGGAAACCCUGAUGCAGCGACGCCGCGUGAGUGAAGGAGGAUUUCGGUAUGUAAAGCUCUAUCAGCAGGGAAGAAAAUGACGGUACCUGAUUCAGAAGCACCGGCUAACUACGUGCCCGCAGCCGCGGUAAUACGUAGGGGGCAAGCGUUAUCCGGAUUUACUGGGUGUAAAGGGAGCGUAGACGGCAGCACAAGUCUGGAGUGAAAUGCCAGGGCUUAACCCCGGAACUGCUUUGGAAACUGUGCAGCUAGAGUGCAGGAGAGGUAAGUGGAAUUCCUAGUGUAGCGGUGAAAUGCGUAGAUAGUAGGAGGAACACCAGUGGCGAAGGCGGCUUACUGGACUGUAACUGACGUUGAGGCUCGAAAGCGUGGGGAGCAAACAGG